rnacentral:misc_RNA from 1 species
GCCCAAGUUCUUUCUCUGGGGCUAGUCAUCCACCUGAGCCAGUUGAUACAGAUCUAAUGAAAACAAUGACGUAUGUACCAAUAAGGCAGAAGAAAUCUGAGGCUGGAUGCCUCAUGAAGAGUAUGUCUGUGAAGGGGCCUUUCCUAGAAGACCUUUCAAUCAGGGUUCCACCUAAGAAACCAAGCCCACCUGUUCUUUCACCAGCAGAAAAUUUGGUUGAAGAACCUAAUGACUUAGUCACUCUGUCUUCGCCAUUUUCAGUUCCUCG